UACGUAGGGUGCGAGCGUUAAUCGGAAUUACUGGGCUUAAAGAGUUCGUAGGCGGCAUGAAAAGUAGGGUGUGAAAGCCCUCGGCUCAACCGAGGAAUUGCGCUCUAAACUGUCGUGCUCGAGGAAUCUAGAGGUGAGCGGAACUGAUGGUGGAGCGGUGAAAUGCGUUGAUAUCAUCAGGAACACCGGAGGCGAAGGCGGCUCACUGGGGAUUUUCUGACGCUGAGGAACGAAAGCCAGGGGAGCGAACGGG
rnacentral:rRNA from 1 species